GCAGGGGUAGCGAAGCGGUUAAACGCGCAGGACUUAAGAUCCUGUGGCAUUAGGCCUUCGUGGGUUCGAAUCCCACCCCCUGCA
rnacentral:tRNA from 1 species